AUCCAGCCGACGAGUCCCAAAUAGGACGGGACGCGCGUCAAAUUGGAU
rfam:Schistosoma margrebowiei strain Zambia genome assembly, scaffold: SMRZ_scaffold0005353